CUCCGUCUGCUAAAACACGCGGUCAUACGUUAACUUGUCUCCCCGUUUUGUAUCAAGAAAUCUGGUCUAAAGUUAUUCUUUCUGUGUUCCAAACCUCGUGGUAUCGAGAUUCUUGAGUUAUUUCUUUUGUUCAUCCGAGUUAAUCAGACUCAGAAGCCUAGUUAAACCCUUGUCUAUUCUUUACACGAAUGGCGUACACCACAGUCCCAAACGGACCAUAUAUCCCAAAUGGCGGGGUUCGGAGGCUCCAGUUGCAGUCACGUAGACAAUUCUUGCAUUGGGCAACUUGUUUUGCAAUUCUAACACUCCAAGCCGGUUUUGGUGGGCUCCGUUGAGCCGAUAGCAACGCAGUUUUUGGCAAGAUGGGAUUCAUCAAACACAAUAAGACCGUCGAAGUCGUCAUGGCACCAUUUCAGGAGCUGAUCCAUCCGUGUUUGCUGUUCUCCUGUUGUUUUUGACUCGCCUAUCAGGCAAGAGUAGGUGGAAAAAAUUACGCCUUUCUUGAUUCCGCCAUUGACAUCCGCCGAUAUCUUGUGCCCAUAUAUCAUUUCCUUCAAUGAAUAGACUUUGAUCUUUUCGGCUCCAA